AUGGAGCCGGUCUCUGCCUCUGCGUCUCUCUCCAUUCCUCCUCCGCUCUCCGCCGUCCAGCUCCCAGGCCAGGGACGUCCCACCCGAGCGUCCGGCCCCAACGAGCGCGGCCCCCUUUGUUCCAUUUGCCCUCCCCGGGACGUGACUGCACCCCCUGGGGGUCCGCCCUGGUGGGAGUCGGGGAGGCCGGGGCCUCCGUUGUGGGUUUUCGUUUCGGGGACGUGUCCGGGACUUAGGCCGGGGGAGGCGCGCACCGUGCGGCGCACGGGCCCGACCGAGGCCGGCGUCGCCCGGUGGGGCUGCGGGGAGUCCGGUACCCGCUGCGCUUCCGGACCCCGCGGGGCCCCUCCCCCGGCCUCGGUGUCCCUCGGGGCUGCCGGAGCUGGAGGGAGAGAAACCCGCCUCCCCGGCCCCGGAAGCGCAAGGCCGCGGCCGCCGACACCCUCGCGGGUGGGGGCCCGAGGUCCUCCCGGGGCCCCACCCCUGCCGCGGUCCUUCCGGCCCCGCCUCCACCCUGCCCGCCGGCGCCCGAGCCCCCGCCCGGCCCCCGGGCCCCGCUCACCUGGCGUCGCCGCGGCGUCUCGGAGUCUGGCUCGGCCCCCGGGCCCCGCCCCUCGGUUCUCACCUCGCCCCUUCCCGCCCCGGCUCCCCGCUCCCCCGCCCGGUCCUCUCCUCGCCGGGCCCCGAGCCGCGGCCCCGUCCCGCCUCCGCGCCCCCAGCCGGGAAGCCAGCUCCGGGAGCUCCAGCUCAGGACGGGGCCGGGGGAAGGGAGGUGCCCGCGCCCGCCUGGGUCCCGCAAGGCUUCUGCGAGGAGGCGGCGCCAACCCGAAGGCGGCGCGCAGGUGGGACAGCGGUCGGUUCCCCCGAGGCUCAGCGCUCGGUGGGGGCGGCUACACCCCAGUCUGCGGUUGGCCUCGGGUCUGGCCUCCUCCUUUUCCAUUCUUCCCUCCCAGAAGGAUGGGGAGCAGAGUUAAGAUCGCCGCGCCCUGUACUGUCUUCACCGGCGCCUGCGUGGCUUUGGGAAACUCACUUCGCUUUUCUGAGCGCAGUUCGCCAGUCUGUGGCGCCAUCGGGAUGCUCAACCCCUUGGUCUGGGCCGCAGAAACAGUCCCGUGA
rnacentral:lncRNA from 1 species